UACGUAGGGUGCGAGCGUUAAUCGGAAUUACUGGGCGUAAAGCGUGCGCAGGCGGUUCGUUGUGUCGGCGGUGAAAGCCCCGGGCUCAACCUGGGAAUGGCCGUUGAAACUGGCGAACUGGAGUGUGGCAGAGGGGGGUGGAAUUCCGCGUGUAGCAGUGAAAUGCGUAGAGAUGCGGAGGAACACCGAUGGCGGAGGCAGCCCCCUGGGCUGACACUGACGCUCAGGCGCGACAGCGUGGGGAGCAAACAGG
rnacentral:rRNA from 1 species